rnacentral:lncRNA from 1 species
GUAGCUUUCUUUGUGAAUCCUCAUGAUUUCUCCGUUUAUUUCGUCCGAGUUCCUAUACUCUUCACAAAUUUCUUUGCGAAGAGCAUCAGUUAAAGGAGGCCCAAGGUCCCGAAGAGCCUUGAGUUCUCGGAUCUCUUGCUCGAGCUGCUGCCGUAUAUUCAGUUGAAGCUUUUCAUCCUGCUCCAUCUUACGGAUCGUCUUGGUCAAGAUUUUGGCGUUGGACUUCAACUCCUUGAUCUUAUCCAUCCUCAGUUCACUCCUCUGAACUAAGUCGACAUUCAUGUUGACAAUUUCAGCAUGCUGAGCCUUAGUC